AGAAGCAGAGGCACAGGAAUUCAGUCUUUAUAGUUUAGACAUGCCUCAGAGCAUUUAUGAUGAUGUGGCCUUCAUUGAGGAUCUGAACAGAAGAGAGCGAGUGGAGAUGGUGGUGGAUAUCUAUGAAAGUGCAGAUGCUGUUAAGAUCAUGAAGAGGCAGAACAUGCUAACGCAGAGAGGAAACCAAGAAUGCAAACCACAGCGGCUUAGAAAAUGGAUGGAUGGAUGUUAUUUGUUCCAGUUUCAGACACACUCCUUGCACAGUCUCUACCAGUCUCUGCUAACCUUCCAGUUGGAGGAAAUAAUACAGGAAGCAGAUGCUACAGACUGGUGCCAUUGUGUCUGGGUCUGCUGUGUUUGCUGGCUGCCAUCGCAGUGCUGUGCAUAAAAGAGAGACCAGUUACCGACCAGUUGCACCGUCCUGAGUGCAGAAAGAGACCAGUUGUAGAAAAAUUACACCAUCCUGACAGCAGAGAAAAACAACGUAAGAUGACUAACAACCUGACCACAGAGACCAGCUUCAACAACCUGAUUACAGAGAAAGACCAGUUACAACAACCUGAUUGACCUUUAGAGGAAGCUCACUAAACCGGAUAAAGAAAAGAUUUCUUUAAAAUACACAAGUCAUGUGUUGAAUUUGGCCAGAGCUGUCUGAACUAAAUAGCUUACCUAAACACUGCCAUCUAUAAAAAGGAAGUGAGGCAUUUGCCCUGAUUUUUAUUAGCUUACUUUAAAAAACUUGAAUCAAAUAAAACUACAAACAGCAGGAAAAGAUCUGAAACACACACUCAAAAAAUCAAAGAGGUGGAAUGAAUAGAAGAACUAACAUUUAGGAAACUGUGGGCUUCUCUGAUGGACCAGAUGAGUAAAUAAACAAAACAAACAAAAAUGAAGGCAAGAAAGCCAAAGCCAGGAGGAUCUAUGAUAUGCUAAGAAAGGUUAGUCAAGACAAAGACCAAGCAGUAGAAAAUCCUAAAAGGCAAUACAGGAAGUUGGGCUAAAGUCUUUGGCCAGCAGCUGGACAGAAGGCUAGGCUGGAAACACAAGAAGAGUGAAGAGCAAGCAAUGGGAAAGUUUAAGACUUUGCAAACUGACACUGACAGGGAUGAGCUGUUUAUGUAUAGUCCUUGAAAUGAAGUGUAAGGGUGCAGCCUGUGCUGCCAGCAGAGGGCGACAGGGGCAGGGCACCACCAGUUCAGGGAACUCCAAUUCCCAGAAGCCUUUAGGCUAAUUAUGACUAAUUUGGCACACCUGUGGACUCCUCUACUUAAGGCCAUGGCAAACAGCAGCCCUUUGUCACACCUUUGUAGAGGGGUGACUGGUAUGGUACUCAGUGUUGAAAAGAAAAAAAAAAAAGAGGAAAAAAAAAAGAACUGAAAACAGAAAUUUCCUUAAUACAACAGGCAGAAAAAAAAGAGAACGGAAAGAAAAACAUGUUGUCCCAAAACUACUUAAACAAGAAUGAGAAGCCACUCUAAGCCACAGUGUUUGUUCUACAAAGAACAAACAGGUGAAACAUAAAGCUGUCCUUCCUCUCAUCGGUGUCAAGCAAUUAAAUGUAUCUUCUCUCCUGA